AGUAAAACUAGUAUAACAGCAUACAUGUCUGUCACAUGACAUCUAAUAUAGCCUACAGUGUGUGUGUGUGUGGGGGGGCUCCUGGGAAGAUAACGGCAUGUUUGUGAGACUACAACCAGUUGAGUUGAGCACUUGGCCUGGCAGUUUAGGCAGGGUGGGUGGAUCCAUAAAUGAGUUUAGAAAUGAGUAAUAACACACUAUGAUACCUCUACCUCAUGUUGUUUUCUACACCUCUGAACAGAGAGUUAUAGGGAUCAAGGAUGGGAUCAUUCAUAUGGCAAAGCAUCAAUCAGAGCAACUGCACCCAUCCUCCUCCCGGUGUUUGCUCAUUCCAGACGUGCAGGUAGGAAUGUGGAUACAUGUUUUGUCAAAAACCCCUUGAGUGGCUUACAGGAUGAACUGCGAGACCACAUUUAGUCAGAUCGUCAGAGCUGGCAUCCUGAAUCAUGUUUGUUAUUCAGAGGUAUGCAUCAUUCUGAAAUGGAGGGAAAAUACCUCAAGUGGAGGAGUGUCUAGAUGGCGCUGAAGUUCACUGUGUGAGACGAGGGGAAAACCAGCAUGUGGCCAGCUCAACAUAUAAAACCACAGAAGUCACAGAGCUAAUUCAGUUAGUGGUUAGUAGCCAGAGACUUCCCAAACACACCCAAACACAGACAGUGGCAUUCCAGCUGCACUUGAAGAAUCUCUCUUCACUCUGCUGUUGUUGCAUUUAAGAUUGUUGAAACAGGUGUGGCCUAUUCUUGAUGGGCUGGGAGAUAAGCUGAGACAUAGCGGUGAUGCUUGGAGCUGAGACAUAGCGGUGAUGCUUGGAGCUGAGACAUAGCGGUGAUGCUUGGAGCUGGACAGCUGGUUGCAGCUCCAUCUUCCACUGGGCAGGUCUGAUAUGGUACAGACCCGAGAUCCCAUUAUCCUCUUGACUGGAUCACAUCUGUCCUCUCUUACUCUGUGGUUCACCUUAACAACCUAUGUAUCAGAGAUACAAUUGAGCCCCACUUUAUCUAAAUGUGAUCACACCUAACACACCAUGGGAAGCUGUUUCCUCAUUAUGGCAGUAAACGCAUACAUGUGAGUGAAAUGGACAUAUAUGCCACAAUUCUUGUAUUUCUAUUUUUUCCUUAAGGGCACAAAUCAUUGAUGUUUCAUAAACCAGUCAUUGUUUGUGAUGUCAACAAGACUCCAUGCAGUAUUUGCCUCAGAGGAAGAGUAGAGCUUCACACGUGUAUUUCAGUGGUCUGCUGGGGAUUUAUGUUAUAACCAGGAACAGUGAACUACCAAAUGCAGGAGCUGAAAGGGAAGUGUCUACGCCAAGCUAUUUCUCUGUUUCUAAAUACAUACUUCCUGGAUCACACAUUUGCUGACAUUAUACAUUUCGAACUGUUCUAAAAGAGUGUGGGACACAUUUUAGACAUACAUUUUAGCUUUUAUUAGCAAAGUUGGGUAUUUACAAAAUACAAUACAAUUUUUGGUACUGUAAUAAUUUCACCAGUUUGCCUCAGAUUACUAUGUCAUAGGUAUUGCUGCACCCUCCUCAGCUGUGGUUAAGUGAAUACGGCUCUGGCAUCUGAAUAUGGCAUUCUGCAUCGGCCUUUUGCACUGUCAUUGAGCCGACAUAUUGAACCCAAAACACAAUAAGUGACUGGCAGAGGAGGGGUUUGGUGCGAAGGAUUAACACUGUUAUGUACUGUUUGAGUGAAUGAAAUGCACCAUUGUCCUGGUGUUUAAAGAAAAUCCUAGUUACUCUGUAUGGUUAGACCAAGUUCUCAACUCGAUGCCUUUAUUCACUAUUACACAGAGAAAUCAAGUGGACUAGUGUGUGUGAUUACUCUCUAAUCAGCUAAUUGAAGCCCAAAUACAGUAUUAUACUUAAGAGAUCAUCAUCAAAACAAUAAUUUAUACAGGAAGAGAAAAAUACUGGUGGUUUAAUGUUCUAUGCUUGUAGUUUUGUAUCACAAACCCAGAGUAUGCAGACACUCACACCCUCUCACUCAU